rnacentral:lncRNA from 1 species
AUAUUCCCUGUUGCGCUGACCAUUCAACAUUCCUUACUGCGAAUGUGAAGUCUUACCUCAUAAAUGUGAUGUUUUGCUAUAUUAUUCCAGUUGUACCAGUUAAAAUUUUGUGCAUUAUGUGAGUUUGUUAAUAUUUUUUUUCGUGUUAUGUACUUGUACAUUGCUAAAGAUUUAUAGAUUUUUGAAUAAAUGUUCAUUUUAAGCAUGGCCCUGUCCUGAGCUCUUCCAAGCGAACA